GAAGAAACACUUUUUCCUUUACAAAGAGCUCGACAACUGAUUUGGCAGUGAAUGGAUGGUGUAAGGGAAAGUGACCGCAUUUAGAUAAAUGAUCAACAACCACCAAAAUGCAAUUGAAGCCAUCAAAUUUAGGCUUGGCAAUAAAAUCCGUGCAUAUGUCAUCCCAAAUUGCUAUUGGAAUGGGAAUUGGCCUUAAAAAAAACAAAUAGGGCUCAUGGUCUUAUAUGCGUUGUUGAUGUACCAAGCAUUCUGCAACAAAAUGUUGGACACUCUUCAUCAUACUCUUCCAGUACAGAUUCCAAG
rnacentral:misc_RNA from 1 species